rnacentral:snRNA from 1 species
GACUUUUUAGAGCUCUUUUAGAAUUUUUUCUAGCAGCUUUUCUGACUUUGGUCAGAAAACCCAU